CAGUCUGACUAAUCAGGUCAGGGGGAAAAUGAAUAGUGUUUUUCAUAGCUCAGCCAGGAAGCCUUGUUCUGCUUUGAGUUUUAAUUUAAGGACUGAGGGGAGGGAAGUGAGCAGAGAAAGAGCAGAAAGUGUCAGUAUUGUUCUUUCCAAUGACACUUAGGUAAAACUUCUACAUAAUAUAGCAUUUUUCUUGGUGUCCAACAUCUGGGAGCCUUUGCAAGUUUUCAGGAGCAUGACAUGUCGUGGUCCAGCUCUGAGUUCAUGUAUACAGCAUAAGAUCAUGUUGUCCACUGUCUUGGUGACUUCUUUGAGACACUCCACUAUAAGGCCAUGAAAGAAGCCAUGAAUGUGAGUAACCAAGAUGGUGACAGAGCAAGAUGCUGUCGGAGAGACCGAAACUUCCCAUAGGUACUCUGGCAAGUUGAGGUUGGGCUGGAUCUGGAUGAUGAGACAAGAUAGCCAUAUUAGUGACCAGAGAAAAGGUAUCCAAGGCCACAGAAGAGAAGCAUGAAGCAACCUUGGAAAGGACAAACUUGGAAGCAGAAGAGGAGAUGUGGAAGACACAGCCAUCAAGGGAAGAGUGCUUUGUGAUCAAGUGGAAGGUUGGAAGGGUCCUGGCCACUGGGUGCUUUGUGCUAUG